rnacentral:rRNA from 1 species
UACGAAGGGGGCGAGCGUUGUUCGGAUUUACUGGGCGUAAAGGGCGCGCAGGCGGCUUAUUUUGUCAGGCGUGAAAGCCCCGGGCUUAACCUGGGAACUGCGUUUGAUACGGAUGGGCUAGAGUUCGGGAGAGGAGAGUGGAAUUCCCAGUGUAGAGGUGAAAUUCGUAGAUAUUGGGAAGAACACCGGUGGCGAAGGCGGCUCUCUGGACCGAUACUGACGCUGAGGCGCGAAAGCGUGGGGAGCAACAGG